GUGAUAGCACACGACCUCGUGUCGGUGCAAGCCCGCAAGAGCUUCUGCCCUAUCAGCUUUUGACGGUAGUGUAGUGGACUACCGUGGCUGUAACGGGUAACGGGGAAUUAGGGUUCGAUUCCGGAGAGGGAGCCUGAGAAACGGCUACCACAUCUAAGGAUGGCAGCAGGCGCGCAAAUUGCCCAAUACCAACACUGCUGAGGCAGCGAAGAGAAAUAGCAACUUCUCGUACUUUGUACGAAGGAGAUUGCAAUGGAUGAUAUCUAAACCUGUCAAUGAGUAUCAAUUGGUGGACAAGUCUGGUGCCAGCACCCGCGGUAAUUCCAGCACCAAUAGCGUAUAUUAAUGCUGCUGCUGUUAAAAAGCUCGUAGUUGGAUCCAGAGUACAGGUUGCAAGGCGGCUCAGUUUGGGUAAACCGGCGUACUGCCGGGAUGCACAGGUUGGGGUAAACCCCUUGCACCAAGACCUGUCCUCUAUGAACGGUGGUAAUGGUGCCUUGCAAGUAGCCAUUUCGGUGGUGAAAGCGCCAACGUGUUAACCAUACGCAUACGGGUCGACCACCGAUGUUACUGUGAACAAACCAGCGUGCCCAAAGCAGGCGUCCGCCGUGAAUGAUAAAGCAUGGAAUAACAAGGGAUCGAUUCUCUCGGCUCUUUUUGUUGGUUCUUAACCCGAGAAGGAAUAAUCAAAACGAUGUUCUUAGCAUGUCUCUUUGAGGCGUGUUUAAGUCAUCGCUACACGGGAUCAAUAGGGACUGCCGGGGUCGUACGUACUCCUACGUCAGAGGUGAAAUUCUUAGAUCGUAGGAAGACGGACUUCUGCGAAAGCAUUCGACAAGAAUGUCUUCAUUAAUCAAGAACGAGAGUGUGGGGAUCGAAGAUGAUUAGAUACCGUCGUAGUCCACUACUGUAAACGAUGCCGUCUCAGGAUCGAGGGAUGCUCAACCAUGACUCCCACGGCACUACCCCGAAACGAGAAAUCAAAGAUUAUGGGUUCAGGGGGGAGUACAUUCGCAAGGCUGAAACUUAAAGGAAUUGACGGAAUGACACCACCAGGCGUGGAGUAUGCGGCUUAAUUUGACCCAACACGGGGAAUUUUACUAGGUCAGGACAAUGUAAGGAUUGACAGAUUGAGAGCUCUUUCUCGAUCCAUUGUGUGGUGGUGCAUGGCCGCUCCUGGUUGGUGGAGUGAUUUGUCUGGUUGAUUCCGUUAACGAACGAGAUCUCGACCCUUAAAUAGGUGGCUUGUCGCUUAGAC
rnacentral:rRNA from 1 species